CUCCCUACCUCUCACUCCCAUCUUCUCUCUCCCUCUCUCACUUCCAGUCUUUCACAGGUAAUCCACGCCGCCCCGUCCAUUCCUCUUACUCCCUCCCUGUCUCUCUCUUUGAACGAACCUCGGCGACAAGCAACAUUUUCUACCGGCGGUGACACACGACGGGAAUCGGAGACCUUGAAGUCGCGGCGGUGGAGGUGGCGGUGAGCUUGUUUGAGACGUUGGAGUUGUUUCGGUCGGAGGAUUUGAGAUAGGAGAUGGAAAUCAAAGGAAGAUUUUGAAUAUGGAAAAUACGAUGGACAUCACACUGAUUAUAAAGGCUAGAAAAAAUAUGAAUUUUUCCUGCUCGGGCCGAGUGGAGUUUGGAUUCAAUCCUUUGACGAUGUUUCUGAUUUUUG